GCCAACUGAAAGCUAGAGAUGGUGAAAUAAAAUCUAUUGUGAGAAAAGGUCUGAAAUCAAAGAAGCGUAUAAUUAAGAAAAUAUUGUUUAUUUGGUUCCAAAGAAAGUUAUUUUGGAAACAGGUAAGGACUCUGUUUAUUACCCCUAUAGCCUUUCUGAUUAAAACACUGCAGAAAAUUAUCUACCCGAAUGACAACUGAAAACAAUGGAGAUCUCAAGACCGAAAGGAUCGGAAACAAUGGAUCAUGAUAAUGAUGUAAUUGAGAUGUUGUAAAAUAUUGGCUGGACACCGUGGCUCACGCCUGUAAUCCCAACACAUUGGGAGGCCGAGGCGGGCGGAUCACCU
rnacentral:lncRNA from 1 species